UACGAAGGGGGCUAGCGUUGCUCGGAAUCACUGGGCGUAAAGCGCACGUAGGCGGCUUUUUAAGUCAGAGGUGAAAUCCUGGAGCUCAACUCCAGAGCUGCCUUUGAUACUGAGAGGCUUGAGUCCGGGAGAGGUGAGUGGAACUGCGAGUGUAGAGGUGAAAUUCGUAGAUAUUCGCAAGAACACCAGUGGCGAAGGCGGCUCACUGGCCCGGUACUGACGCUGAGGUGCGAAAGCAUGGGGAGCGAACAGG
rnacentral:rRNA from 1 species